rnacentral:rRNA from 1 species
UACGUAGGGUGCGAGCGUUGUCCGGAAUUAUUGGGCGUAAAGAGCUCGUAGGCGGUUUGUCGCGUCUGCUGUGAAAACUCGGGGCUUAACUCCGGGCCUGCAGUGGGUACGGGCAGACUAGAGUGCGGUAGGGGAGUGUGGAAUUCCCGGUGUAGCGGUGAAAUGCGCAGAUAUCGGGAGGAACACCAACAGCGAAGGCAGAUCUCUGGGACGUUACUGACGCUGAGACGCGAAAGCGUGGGGAGCAAACAGG